GGGAAUAACACCGGGAAACCGGUGCUAAUACCGCAUACGAUCACGAUGUCUGUGGAUGUUGUGAUGAAAGGAGCAAUUCGCUCCAGGAGGAGCCCGCGGCUGAUUAACUACUUGGUGAGGUAACGGCUCACCAA
rnacentral:rRNA from 1 species